UGCUCGAGUGGCGAACGGGUGAGUAACACGUGAGUAACCUGCCCUUGACUUUGGGAUAACUUCAGGAAACUGGGGCUAAUACCGGAUAGGAGCUCCUGCUGCAUGGUGGGGGUUGGAAAGUUUCGGCGGUCGGGGAUGGACUCGCGGCUUAUCAGCUUGUUGGUGGGGUAGUGGCUUACCAAGGCUUUGACGGGUAGCCGGCCUGAGAGGGUGACCGGCCACAUUGGGACUGAGAUACGGCCCAG
rnacentral:rRNA from 1 species